CCUACGGGUGGCAGCAGUGGGGAAUAUUGGACAAUGGGCGAAAGCCUGAUCCAGCCAUGCCGCGUGUGUGAAGAAGGCCUUCGGGUUGUAAAGCACUUUCAGUGGGGAAGAAAGCCUUGGGGCUAAUACCCUCGAGGAAGGACAUCACCCACAGAAGAAGCACCGGCUAACUCCGUGCCAGCAGCCGCGGUAAUACGGAGGGUGCGAGCGUUAAUCGGAAUUACUGGGCGUAAAGCGCGCGUAGGCGGUCUGAUAAGCCGGUUGUGAAAGCCCCGGGCUCAACCUGGGAACGGCAUCCGGAACUGUCAGGCUAGAGUGCAUGAGAGGAAGGUAGAAUUCCCGGUGUAGCGGUGAAAUGCGUAGAGAUCGGGAGGAAUACCAGUGGCGAAGGCGGCCUUCUGGACUGACACUGACGCUGAGGUGCGAAAGCGUGGGUAGCAAACAGGAUUAGAUACCCUGGUAGUC
rnacentral:rRNA from 1 species